UGGGGAAUAUUGGACAAUGGGCGAAAGCCUGAUCCAGCAAUGCCGCGUGAGUGAUGAAGGCCUUCGGGUUGUAAAGCUCUUUCGGGUGGGACGAUGAUGACGGUACCACCAGAAGAAGCCCCGGCUAACUUCGUGCCAGCAGCCGCGGUAAUACGAAGGGGGCUAGCGUUGUUCGGAAUUACUGGGCGUAAAGCGCACGCAGGCGGUCCGUUAAAUGAGGAGUGAAAGCCCUGGGCUCAACCCGGGAAUUGCUCUUCAGACUGGCGGACUUGAAUCCGGAAGAGGGUAGUGGAAUUCCCAGUGUAGAGGUGAAAUUCGUAGAUAUUGGGAAGAACACCGGUGGCGAAGGCGACUGCCUGGUCCGGUAUUGACGCUCAUGUGCGAAAGCGUGGGGAGCAAA
rnacentral:rRNA from 1 species